CCAGGAGGCGCGGCAGACCUGAACGGCGUGGCGGACUCGGGCGGGGCAGUGGGGCCAGCAUGAGUGCCGGCAGCAGUGGCUGCGGCGAGAGAUAGCCCUGGAUCGUACGAGCGGUAGCCGCGGCACGGGAGACGGGCAGCGGCGUUCCCUUCCCCGCGCGGCGUGGGGACCAAGAUGCAGGCGACCGGCGUUCCCCCCCACCCCCGCAACCUGACCAUGUGUUUUUACAAACUCGGCAAGAACCACUGCAGCUGAGCUUAAGUUUGUGCUUUACCCCAGCGAGAGAGUGGGAAAGCUAAACUGAGAUCUGACUGUUGGACUGUCAUUGGAGUGGACAUGCAGGACAAUUCACAAGACCUGGCUAGACUGGAUAAAAAAACCUACCUCACACUCAAACCCAUGAUGAGCCUUACCUCAGCUGUCAUCCUGCUCGCGCUGAGCAGCCUGGCAGCUGCCUGGAUUGUCCCUCAGCCACGACAGAACAUCUGGGUGACCCUGGCACACACACUUCAACAAGACAGUAUCUGCCUGUCCACUGCAGCAGCAAAAGACCCUAUGUCCACCUGUCUGGUAGGAAUCCCACUGCAGGCUGAAGAUUUUACAGCCAUCUUUAGUGAUCCCAAGUUUAAUACAAUUCCUAAAACACACAGUGACCAACCACAUGAAAACCGUAAGCGGCGAGCUGUGGCAGUGAAAAAUCCUAUAGAAAAGUGGUUACCAAUACUGCCCAAAGCUAAUAAGGAGCCCCAAGAAUUAGAGCUAUUAGGUUCCUCCCCCCCACUUUUUUGUGUUCACUUCAUUUACAAUUCACUGCCAGAUACAAAACUAUACCCCCACAUAAUCCAGUAUCGAAAAGAAUACAAAGCAAAACAAUGGUGUGGUACACUAAGUCAAGUCUUAGCAGAGGAUCCUUGCUGCUCACAUCCAAGAAUCCUCCCUAAAAGCAUAUUUCUGAUUUGUGGAGAUAAAGCAUGGGCAGGAGUCCCAUCUUGCCUUCGAGGAGGACCUUGCACUUUUGGACGGCUGUCCCUGUUAACACCCAACCAAACCCAAAUUAUUAAAUGGACUCAAAAAAACAAUUCAACACAUGAAAUCCACAAAAGAGGCACUGUCAUGGUUUUAAACCAGUAACUAAAAAAAUUACUUAUUUCUUGCUGUGAGAUAUGGAUUAGAACAAGAGCAAAACAGGCUUAAAACUUAAAAGGAAUAAAGACAGUUUAUUAACAAACUACAAGAAUAAGAACACCAGAAUAAACUUUCAGAAAACCCUUUUAUCUCCCACCACUUGACCAUUUCUUUGUUCACAUGGCAACAUAGAGACAAAAAACUUCAGAACUUUGGUGGUUAAAAACAGUCCCAAUUCUUGCUAGAGUUUUUUCAUCAGUCUUUGUAGAGAAACAGAAGUCUCUUUCUGCUAAUCUAUGGAGUUUCUCACAAGAAAACUAUUUUUGUUAUAGUUUUCUAUUUCUCUAAUGCCAGCUGCCCGGAAAUCUGUCAUUAGAGUUCACUCCUCCCAUUCCACAUCACUCCGAGGUGUGCAUGGGUCAAUGAGUCUAGGGACGUCAUUUUAAGGAUGAGUUAUUCAAAGGCAGAAGUCCUCUUCAUCUGUCUCUGUGAGCCUUCCUGGAAAACAGCUUUCCCCUUGCCCCCCCAAGGCUUCAAAAUCUUCACUCUACCCAUUUCCAGCAACCCACAGUAUCACAACCACUCUCUCUUUUUCUCAAAAGUCCACACUUUGAACACUCUAUUCCUCCCAUACUCUAGUCAUGAAUUAAAGGAGUCUUUUUAAACUACUAUUGUCCAUCUCCAUAGCUUUAAGAGAAAGAUAUUUCAGCUGUAAGCAUCUCCCUAUUCUCUCUCUCUUAUUUAAAACUUAACUCUUUUCUUCACUGUUUUUGGUAGUUCUAUGAUGUCUUCUUUAUGUUGACUGUCUCUCUCGUUCUGUCUUUUCUGAGAAAAAGGAGUAAUCUGUUUGUUUAUCCAGGUAGUAAAAGAAUUAAAAGCUUUAGAAAAGCUGCAAAAGUUCAUGGUGUCAGGUUUCAGUCCAGCAGCAGAAACUGAAAACCAAACCAGGCUGCCAGCUCUGCUUUCCUUUCCUCCCCCCCCCCCCCCCACCUCUCGUCCUCUGCGGCCUUCUUCGGCCGAGAGAGAGGCGGGGGGGGGAAUGGAGGAGGGUACCACAGAGCCUUGUUACCUUCUCAGAAGCCAGAAACCAAAGAGGGCAAGAGACCUCUGACUGUACAUCUUAAGGGGGUGUUUACAAGUUGAAUUCACUUUUUAAUGGUCAGAACUGCUGUCAAUUCUUAGAAAUGACUGAUAAUUGGUCAGGAGGAAAAACUCCCAUCAGCCACCAGCAGCUUCAACUUCCUUAACUCUCAAAGCUAUCUUAAAGGUAAAGCUACCCCAUGACAGGCACGGAUAUUUUAGACUCAAAUUGUGAUUCGGAUAUAUUUCAUUGGGCAAAAUCAAAAACGGUUUCUGCAUCCAUAUUUCUUCCAUGGGUUGCAGGUGCUAAGGCACAAGAUGAAUUAGGACAGCUUGAGUGCUGGGUAAUUAAACAGGCCAAUUUAACAUCAGCUGCCCUCAGCUCCCUCCUCAAAGAUGAAGAGAUUACCACACAGGCCAUGCUCCAAAAGCGUGCUGCCAUAGAUUUUCUUCUGCUGCUGCAUGGACACGAAUGCCAGGAAUUUGAAGGACUUUGCUGCCUAAACCUGUCCUCAAAAGCUCCCAACGUCCACGGAGCCCUCCGAGAAAUGAAGAACUUGAUUGGACAAGUGAAGCAAGAAGCUGAGGACUGGUUUAGUGAGCUGUUUAAAAGCUGGGGACUCACAGGAUGGUGGACCUCGAUAAUCAAAACAAUCCUGUUGUUUUUUGUUGUUCUGUUUCUAAUCGUGCUAGCCUUCGGGAUUGUCCGUUGUUUAGUUUUAAAAGCUCUCUAGAAUUUAAUCUCUACUACCUCAGAGAUCAACCACAUAGAACUAGUGGACCGGAAGCAAGCUAACCGGCCCGCCAACCACGAGUGGUGGACAAACUCGUGACCUGUAUGAAGAUAAUCUCAUAACCCUUCAACAAAAUUUUUAUAUAAUAAGAAAGGGUGAGAUGUUGCAAUGCAUUUAGAAAAAAUGGUAUGACCCAAGAAAAUGUACCCCCGAAAUGUAGAAUGUUUCUUUCCCUUAUCUUGUUCUCCCCAGUUCCCCUUAUUGGCUGUGUGAAUGUAAGCCACCCUCUUCCCCCUGCCUUCAAAAAGAGGCGCUUAUCAAUAUUCUUCCUCUUUCCUUCCUGCUUGCCUUCUCCAUGGGAUCCCAAGAACAAUAAAGCUGCACUUCCAUCUCA